CAAUAGCGUAUAUUAAAGUUGUUGCAGUUAAAAAGCUCGUAGUUGGAUUUCGGGGCAGCCUGGCUGGUCCGCCGCAAGGCGAGUACUGGUCAGCCGCCCUUCCUCUCGAAAGCCCCGACUGCUCUUCAUUGCAGUGGUCGGGUAGUUCGGGACGUUUACUUUGAAAAAAUUAGAGUGUUCAAGGCAGGCCUACGCCUGAAUACAUUAGCAUGGAAUAAUGGAAGAGGACCUCGGUCCUAUUUUGUUGGUUUCCAGGGCCGAAGUAAUGAUUAAGAGGGACAGUUGGGGGCAUUCGUAUUUAAUUGUCAGAGGUGAAAUUCUCGGAUUUAUGAAAAACGAACAACUGCGAAAGCAUUUGCCAAGGAUGUUUUCAUUAA
rnacentral:rRNA from 1 species